rnacentral:rRNA from 1 species
CCUACGUGUGGCAGCAGUGGGGAAUAUUGGACAAUGGGCGAAAGCCUGAUCCAGCCAUGCCGCGUGUGUGAAGAAGGCCUUCGGGUUGUAAAGCACUUUCAGUGGGGAAGAAAGCCUUGGGGCUAAUACCCUCGAGGAAGGACAUCACCCACAGAAGAAGCACCGGCUAACUCCGUGCCAGCAGCCGCGGUAAUACGGAGGGUGCGAGCGUUAAUCGGAAUUACUGGGCGGAAAGCGCGCGUAGGCGGUCUGAUAAGCCGGUUGGUGAAAGCCCCGGGCUCAACCUGGGAACGGCAUCCGGAACUGUCAGGCUAGAGUGCAGGAGAGGAAGGUAGAAUUCCCGGUGUAGCGGUGAAAUGCGUAGAGAUCGGGAGGAAUACCAGUGGCGAAGGCGGCCUUCUGGACUGACACUGACGCUGAGGUGCGAAAGCGUGGGUAGCAAACAGGAUUAGAUACCCCUGUAGUC